GGCUUUGCACAGUGGCAGUAUUGCACCCAAUGAGGUUUAUCUAAGGUGCAAUUAUUGCUAAUUGACUCACAGCACAGGCCAAGGCAGCCCUUUUCACUUCAGGAAACUCAUUCUGAC
rnacentral:snRNA from 1 species